UGUAUAAUGGGUCAGCGACUUAUAUUCUGUAGCAAGGUUAACCGAAUAGGGGAGCCGAAGGGAAACCGAGUCUUAACUGGGCGUUAAGUUGCAGGGUAUAGACCCGAAACCCGGUGAUCUAGCCAUGGGCAGGUUGAAGGUUGGGUAACACUAACUGGAGGACCGAACCGACUAAUGUUGAAAAAUUAGCGGAUGACUUGUGGCUGGGGGUGAAAGGCCAAUCAAACCGGGAGAUAGCUGGUUCUCCCCGAAAGCUAUUUAGGUAGCGCCUCGUGAAUUCAUCUCCGGGGGUAGAGCACUGUUUCGGCAAGGGGGUCAUCCCGACUUACCAACCCGAUGCAAACUGCGAAUACCGGAGAAUGUUAUCACGGGAGACACACGGCGGGUGCUAACGUCCGUCGUGAAGAGGGAAACAACCCAGACCGCCAGCUAAGGUCCCAAAGUCAUGGUUAAGUGGGAAACGAUGUGGGAAGGCCCAGACAGCCAGGAUGUUGGCUUAGAAGCAGCCAUCAUUUAAAGAAAGCGUAAUAGCUCACUGGUCGAGUCGGCCUGCGCGGAAGAUGUAACGGGGCUAAACCAUGCACCGAAGCUGCGGCAGCGACACUAUGUGUUGUUGGGUAGGGGAGCGUUCUGUAAGCCUGCGA
rnacentral:rRNA from 1 species